AAAAAAAAAUUUGUGAAAAAUGAUGCCAUAGUAAUUAAAAAAAUAAGAGAGAAUGGUAAAAAAAUGAGAAAAAAAAAAACCCUAGUUCCCUUUCUCUCUCGAGAAUCAGCCGCCAGGACCAAAAAAAAAAAUUUGAUCUCAGGCUGGAUCGUGGUGGCUACUCUAGCACCGGAUUCAGCCUCCCCACAUUUGCUUUAGUUUCUUUCUCUCUUUUCGUUUUCGGUUUGUUUCCCCGGUGACCCUGUUCGUGAAAUGAUGUUGGUGCAGCUGCGUCGUAGUUCUUUUGCUUGUGUUUCCAGCCGAGUUGCGGAGGUGGUGCUGGUUGGGUUAGAGACCUCUUUGUAAUUUCGGCGGUGGUGGUCUUAUUUGUUUGAGUUUGGGGUUCGGAUCUGGUUUGUUGCGAGACCUUAGGUGGCUUUGAGUUUCAAGACUUCUAGGUUCUGUUCGGACUUUGCAUUUGGAGGGCUUGUUUUGGGUUAGUUGGUUUGCUUUUGGGUUAUUCUCCGGUUGAUGCUACUGGUCCGAUCGUUUGUGCUGAUUUUGGAUGAAGCAACGAGAGGCAGGGGUUGUUGUUGUUUAUGGUUUGGUGUCUGUACGGGUUGGCUGCUCUCGAGGUUGGCUUUGUGGAUCUAGUCUUAGGGGUUCGGUUCCUUUGAUCGGAGUUUUGCCGGUUUUUUGUGAUGUUUGCAGGUUAUUGUGUUGUCAUGGAAAGUCGUGUUCACGACAGUUCCUCAUUCGGGUUUCCGGGUUCUGGUUGGUUUGGCUUUGGUUGCUCGUGGCUCUUUCUGGUUCCUAUCAAAGCGGUGUGAGCAUUGUUAUGAGUUUGGUCGUCCUUCAGUCCCUUUCAUCUAUUUGACAAUGGGUGUGUCUUCUCUUCCUGCUUCCAUUCCAGCUAGUACUUUCUUUGUCCUUCCUAUUUGUGCUUGAUGAUCUCUUCCAUUUGGAGUUGGUUCCAAAGUUUUUAUCUUUCGUCUGGUGUAUUUGCUGUAAGGUUGCCUUUUCUUUGGAUCUUUAGUUUCCCUGUAAUUUAGGACUUUGCUUCCCUCGUUUGGGCUUUAUCUCCGGGGAUAUCUUUUUCUUCCACCGGUUUAUGUAAUCUCACAAUGUAUCUUUCCGAUGUUUUAUCAAUCAAAUCAGAUGAAAAAAAAAAAAAAA